CCCCCCUAGGGGGGGCCGCCGCACAGACUGGGGGGGCCUCUGCUGGAAAGCAGGUUGUGUGCUUCGGACAGCAGCCCCGGCCACCUUCUCCCAGUGACACCUGCGGGUGCUGCACCCCCAGCCCCGCACCCCUGGGUCCCCCAGUGAAAAGGGGCAGCCAUUUUCUCUUGAGUGCAAACCGGCCGCCAGGAUCCAGCCCGGCUCCGACCGGCCACCAGGUCAACCCCAGGGAAAAGGUCUGGAAAGUUUCUCAUCCCAAACCGGCCACCAGGUCAACCCCAGGGAAAAGCCCCAGGGAAAAGGUCUGGAAACUUUCUCAUUGCAAACCGGCCACCAGGUCAACCCCAGGGAAAAGGUCUGGAAAGUUUCUCAUCGCAAACCAGCCACCAGGUCAACCCCCCCCGAGGAAAAGAGCUGUCGGACCCCACCUCCCUGGCGGUGGGGAGCAGCAGUUUCGCUCAGGUCCGUUGCCCAGGGCGGACCAGGCCCGAGAGUAGAGCGAAGGCGGGAGUUCCCCUAACUGGCUCCAGCGAAAUCUGGGGGCGCCCUCCGCUGGCAGCACAGUUGAGGCCCGUCACUUUAUAACUGCUGGUCAUGAUACUCCGGCGGGUGGACCGACGGCUCCACCAUGGCCAUGAGUCACCCCUCUAAGGCCCUGGCGGGCGCAGUAGUGAGGAUUACACCGCAGGGACCGGAAUGUCAGCACGUGGGCUCUACACUCGAACACACGCGCACGCGCAGUGCGUUACCCUCGAGAGCCAACACGCAGGCUGCCGGAAGCCUACGUGCCAUUGACUGAGUCUGACCCCACGAGACCGAAGCCCCGCAGGACAGGCACAGCAACCCCACGCUGCAUCCAUGGUGGAGAAACCCCGAAGGUGUUUCCCCGACCACCUGUCCCUGCGGGAGAUUCCAGGUGGCCCUUAGCUGGUCAGCUCGGUACAGGAGUGAGGAAGGGGGGGGAAGGGGAGGUGGACGAGGAGCACUCUCGGGCCCAGAAGUAGCUCCAUCCCCUUCCUCACACCAAGCUCAGCUAGCCCGGGAUGCCGAGCCUGUCCCUGCACUGACCAGCUCGACAGCAUCAUGACAAGAACCCGCAGGCACCCGCACAAAUGAGCCAGGUGAAAAAAGGCAGCCGCCCGCUGCCCCGGGAGAAGCGGCUCGUGAGCCCCGCCCCGUGGAUGCUGUAGCUGGGUCCUGCCAUCGCAGCAAGAACGCCCACGCGUCCCAUGGCAUCGGCAGGAAACACACUAGCAGGUGAUGUGGCCGUUUGCCUGCUUGGAACUGGGCUGAGAACCUCCCCCAUCCCCAGCACCAGCCAGGGCCCUGUGUUGCUUCUUUAUCGCAGCAGGGCCUGUCAGCUCAUGUGACUGUCCAGAACCCCUGCAGGUGCUGGAAGUAAUUAUGACCACGGAUGAAACCUAUCCACUUUCCAGAGACCCAUCAGCUUGGUUGGUGAGAGCAUCCCAGGGUAGCUCUGGUAAUUCAAUCAGAGUCUGUAAUUCGCUAAUGGGCAGGAUCGAUUCUGGGCCACAGCCGAAAGGGGCUUUGUUUCCAUCGCCCCAGCCCUUUGCCAGCUGGCAAGCUGCUGCCAGUUGAGAAUGACAGAACUUCACCCCUGGCAUAUUCCUCUGUGGCAGAGCAGAGCGCGCCUUGCUGGAGCCUGUCUGGACCAUAUUCCCCAGGGCCGGGCCAGGAUCCUUCCAUACAAUCCAGGCUCCAGGCCUUUGUCCAGCCUUAAGCCUCCCAAGUGAUGGGGGACUAUUCCACAAUCUAGCACAGAGGACCCCAAACUGUGGGGUGGGCCCCCCUGGGGGGGGGCAUGGAGAAACAUUCGGAGAGCACGACGGGGUCUGGGACAGCCCCCACAGGGGGUGUGGAGGGAGCACCACCCAGCCCAGCUCUGCUCCCAGCUCUGCUCCCAGCUCUGCUGUGGCCCCAUCCAUGGCUCCCGGUCCCAUGCCCGGCCCCAUAGCCUCAGCCCCGGACCACAGCCCAGCUGUAGCUGUGCACCAGGCCCUGGCCCCGGCCCCAGUCCAGCCCCCAGUCUCAGCCUCUGGCCGCAGCUCCAUUCCCAACCCCAGUCUCAGCCCUCUUACCCCUGUCUGUGUCUCAGGGGGCUGGGGGGAGGAAGAGGGUAUUGAGAGGGGUAAGGGGGGGCAUGACCCUGAAAAGUUUGGGAACCACUGGUUUACCAGAUUUCACUGUCUGAAAUCAAAGAUGCUGUAGGCGCACUUCAGCCACUUUAGCAGAUCACUUUUCUCUGAGGUGUCUGGAGCACACGAGCCCUGAAGAAACAUGUCCUUGAGGGCAGUGGCCUUAACGGGGAGGGCUUGGAUUGAGGCAUGUUUCCAUGGGGACUGUUGUGAUAAUUGGACUGACAAAUUGACCCUAAUGGUGAGCUCAGUUGUAAAAAGUCUAUGAAAGUUCACGAGAUGUUACCAUAACCUAUAAAGGCAAGUGUUGAUGGACAGUAGGGCCAGUAGUGUUCAGUAAUGUGGAUUAUAAGCAGGUGCACAAGAACUGGCCAGAGAGACUGGAUUAGCCCAGAUCAAAGAGAGACCACAUUGUGAUAACUCAAGGACAGUGGUGUUGAAACCAUGCUGGGUAAAAAGAGAAGAUAUGGACCUGGAAAUGAAUAGACCAGCAUUGAUGUGUCGGAUAUUAGGCUUCACUGGUGGACAAAAUAAUGAGGGGCCAGGCUAUUCCACCCACCGUUCCCUUUGUGAGUCCUUCAGGAAAGAGACUUUGGGGAGAGAUUAGGGAAGAACAGAUGGAGGCUACUGGAGUGAGUGUCACCAUCAUGGCUGCCACCCCCACUGUCUCCUGGGACCCUGGGCCUUUGUCCUCCUGAUCCGGAGGGAUGUCCUGGCCAGACCGAGCCAGAGAGAGGGACCCAGAUGAUAUCACCACCUCUGCUGACUCCAGCUGAAACCCAGCCACCACCUGGGAUGAAACGGGAUCUGACUUUAACAACAGCUCCAAUCCAUCUCAACUCACUUCUCUUUCCCCUCAAGGAUGGUUAUUAGCAUCUUUGGUAAGUACUAAGAGACUGUCAGUCAAGGGGCUUUUUCCUUCUGAAAACUCCCUCCAGCUAAAGGCAAAUGGAGCAAGGGAUGGUGUUAAAAUCAAAGCCUGACUCAGUACUUUCCAUUUCAAAUGCUUUCUCUGGUUUUCUUUCUUUUCUGUAUAAUAAAAGGGCAGAAGGAUUUUUAGUAAUGUGUUUGCCCUGCUCUGAAGCAGGCUGAAGUCUGUGUACCAAACCUCAGACCUUAUUUACCACUGUUUAAUGUUGGACAGGGACUGGGUUAUAUUAACAGCUUUGGCUCAUUUAAUCCAUCUAAAUAAAUACAACAGGGCCCUCUGCUGAGAUAGUCUUGAUAUGGCCAGCCUUGGCUGAGGUGCCCUUACCCAAGGAGGUCUUAAAGGAAGACCUUUCACGGACAGGUCAGUGAAGAAAAUGUACAAUAAAGCCAACUUUAAGUAUUCUCCAUAUGAAAAAUGCUGGCACAGUUUCCUUCCAAAAC